AGCGAACGCUGGCGGCAGGCCUAACACAUGCAAGUCGAACGAAGCCUUCGGGCUUAGUGGCGGACGGGUGAGUAACACGUGGGAACGUACCUUUUGGUUCGGAACAACUCAGGGAAACUUGAGCUAAUACCGGAUGAGCCCUUAGGGGGAAAGAUUUAUCGCCGAAAGAGCGGCUCGCGUUAGAUUAGCUAGUUGGUGAGGUAAAGGCUAACCAAGGCUACGAUCUAUAGCUGGUCUGAGAGGAUGAUCAGCCACACUGGGACUGAGACACGGCCCAGACUCCUACGGGAGGCAGCAGUGGGGAAUCUUGCGCAAUGGGCGAAAGCCUGACGCAGCCAUGCCGCGUGAAUGAUGAAGGUCUUAGGAUUGUAAAAUUCUUUUACCAGGGACGAUAAUGACGGUACCUGGAGAAAAAGCCCCGGCUAACUUCGUGCCAGCCGCCGCCGUAACAC
rnacentral:rRNA from 1 species